UACAGAGGGUGCAAGCGUUGUUCGGAAUUAUUGGGCGUAAAGCGCGUGUAGGCGGCUUUGCAAGUCGGGUGUGAAAGCCCUCGGCUCAGCCGAGGAAGUGCGCCCGAAACUGCAGAGCUUGAGUACCGGAGAGGAUGGCGGAAUUCCCCAAGUAGAGGUGAAAUUCGUAGAUAUGGGGGAGGAACACCGGUGGCGAAGGCGGCCAUCUGGACGGAUACUGACGCUGAGACGCGAAAAGCGUGGGGGAGCAAACAGG
rnacentral:rRNA from 1 species